UACGGAGGGUGCAAGCGUUAUCCGGAUUCACUGGGUUUAAAGGGUGCGUAGGCGGACAGGUAAGUCAGUGGUGAAAUCUCCGAGCUUAACUCGGAAACUGCCUUUGAUACUAUCUGUCUUGAAUAUUGUUGAGGUAGGCGGAAUAUAUCAUGUAGCGGUGAAAUGCAUAGAUAUGAUAUAGAACACCGAUUGCGAAGGCAGCUUACUAAACAAUUAUUGACGCUGAGGCACGAAAGCGGGGGGAUCAAACAGG
rnacentral:rRNA from 1 species